GGUGACGACACAUUCAAGCAGCAGCGCGCCGUGGCAGACAUGGUCUCCUGUGCACGCUGGACUCCACGCCUAAACUUGACGACGAAGUGUCCCGACCCUGCAGCGCCGCUUCCCUGCUCGACGCUGGAGGACCGCACGCAGCCGCGCGGCCACGCGCACCGCGUGCUUCGUCGGGGAACUGCAGCGGCCGAGUCUCGACGACGCGGCCGCCCACAAUGCACAGCGACGCGAGGAGAACGCGCUGUCGUGGCACGGCCACGCUUGUUUUUCUCGGUGAUGUCGCUUUUCUGUGCCGUCACUUCUGGCGGCUUAAGUUCGUGCGCUUUCUUAACGAUUGUAUUACAUUUUUAAUUAAAUAAGGAUUUCGUUGUC
rnacentral:lncRNA from 1 species